GGCCUAACACAUGCAAGUCGAACGGUAGCACAGAGAGCUUGCUCUCGGGUGACGAGUGGCGGACGGGUGAGUAAUGUCUGGGAAACUGCCUGAUGGAGGGGGAUAACUACUGGAAACGGUAGCUAAUACCGCAUAAUGUCGCAAGACCAAAGAGGGGGACCUUCGGGCCUCUUGCCAUCAGAUGUGCCCAGAUGGGAUUAGCUAGUAGGUGGGGUAACGGCUCACCUAGGCGACGAUCCCUAGCUGGUCUGAGAGGAUGACCAGCCACACUGGAACUGAGACACGGUCCAGACUCCUACGGGAGGCAGCAGUGGGGAAUAUUGCACAAUGGGCGCAAGCCUGAUGCAGCCAUGCCGCGUGUAUGAAGAAGGCCUUCGGGUUGUAAAGUACUUUCAGCGGGGAGGAAGGUGUUGUGGUUAAUAACCACAGCAAUUGACGUUACCCGCAGAAGAAGCACCGGCUAACUCCGUGCCAGCAGCCGCGGUA
rnacentral:rRNA from 1 species